AGUUUUAAGGUGAAAACCUCCUAAAUGCAAUCGCAGAACCAUUUAGGGUGCAGAAUUCCAGGUGUCAACCUCACACUGCCACGCCUACCACUGAACCCUGACCCCAGGCGCUUAAAUGCCACCAGGGCGGUGACUCCGCCGCUGCCCCGCAGCCGGAACGCUGCACAAGCCUUCGGGAGAGGAAUUUCUUCCCCGUGUCCAACCCAAGUAUCCCGCGUGAGGCCGUUUCCUCUCGUCCUGUCGCUUGUGGCGUGGGAGCAGGGCCAGCUGUCCCGUACCAUCAGGGAGCUGCGGGGAGCCAUAAACCCUUCCCGGAUCCUCCUUUCCUGCCGGGAGCCGCCUCCGGUGACGUCAGAGCGGGACGCCGGGCGGGGGCAUGACGUCACGGCGAGGCGCGCGUCGCCGCAGUGCGGGCAGUGGGACGCGCGCUCACCUGCGCACAUCUGGGCGCACCCGCACACGGCUGCGUUCACCUGCGCGCACCUGAGCUGCCCGGCGCCAUGGUUCGGUUCGGGCUGACGGUCGUGCGGCAUGGAGAAACAAGAUACAACAAAGACAAGAUAUUGCAAGGUCAAGGAGUGGAUGAGCCACUCUCUGCCACUGGUUUCAGGCAAGCAGAUGCUGCUGGUUUAUUUCUCAGUAAUGUGAAGUUUACCCACGUCUUUUCAAGUGAUCUCCUUCGAACAAAGCAGACUGCUGCUGCCAUUCUAGGGAAAAACAGGUUUUGCAAAGAUUUGGAAAUCAAGUACGAUGCAAGACUGCGAGAGAGAAAAUAUGGUGUUGCAGAAGGAAGGCCUUUGGCUGACCUCAAGGCUAUGGCAAAGGAUGCUGGAGAGCAAUGUCCUUCAUUCACACCUCCUGGAGGAGAAACACUGGAUGAAGUGAGAGAGCGUGCGAGGGAUUUUUUUCAAUUCCUAUGCCAGCUGGCUGUUGAGUUGGAGCAGAAAAGGCACGACAAGCCUGGUGCCCCAGGCAGGAGCUCAGGAACAUCUGGAGAACAGUUUAUUUUCCCCUGGGCAAACCACUGCAGUGAGGCAGAGCUGAGCUCUGAGGGCAGCGGAUCUUCCACCCUAUUAGAUGCCAAUAUUUUGGUGGGGUGCUACACAGCCAGUGUCAGAUGCCACAGUGAUGCAGGGCACUCCUUAGAUGUAUCCUGGAAAGGGAGCUGGAAGGCAGUCUGGAUGAGCUACCACCUAUUAUGAAUGUCAGGAACCAAGGUAAAGCGAGGAAAUCCUCACUCCAGAGCAAAAGAUGAAAGGAAAAGAUGGAUAAGGCAGACCCCAGCUUUCAGGAUGAAAUUUAUUCAAGGUAAUCAUUGAGCAACCUGGUCUAGGGGGAAAGUGUCUUGUUGAAACAAGAUGGUUUUUGUGGUCCUUUUCAACCCAAAUCAUUCUGAUUCUCUGAUUGAUGCUCCAGCCCUUAGUGAGUCUCACUCCCCUCCCUCCCUGCCAUGCCUUUUGUCCCAGGCCUGCUCCUGCUGCCUCCUGCUCCUUGCUCCAGAGGCAGCUCAGCUCAGGUUUAGCCAGGUACUCUGGGUACUCACCUGGGCCAGGUGCCUCAGCUGGAACAUGGAUGACACUCAGGCCUCCCUGGUAUCAUCAUUUAACUGCAAAAAUGUGCAUAGAAGGAACUGAGGGUCACAAGAGCAGAUUGAGGUCUGACUUUCCCCCCUUUUGACUGGUUUGAAUUUCAGCUUUAGGUUAUUUUGCAAUCCAAAUUUACCACCUCAACUCUGUAAAACCCUCAGCAGCUAAAUGUCAUCCCUUGAGCUGCUUUCUUUUACUGUUUAUCCCCUCAGUUCUGGAGAGGACUCACAAGGCACAGGCAAGUUUUUUAUUUACAGUAGGUUUAAGUUACUACAAGUGACUUGCAGUUAUCUUUUGGAAGGGCUUUGUGGACCAUCAGAAAUUUGCCAGUUAAAAUAAAAAAGUUUUCUACUCAAUCCAAUAGAUUUGACUUCCAGGAUUCUCCUACGAGUAAAACUACACGUCCCCUCACAGUGCUGGUAUUCCUUUCAUCACGUAGGAGCACCUGUAGCACUCUUGCCUAAUAAAGCAUAUUGACUUAUAUGUAAACAGGUGGGUGGCUUGCCCUUUUGCAGCAUUCUGUGCCAUCUGAGUGCCUGUGCUGGCUUCAGGAAGCCUCUUGCUCUCUGCUGCUCAGCUCACACAGGAGUUUGGGUUGACAGAUUCGAAACUACCUCUGCUCUUAAUAAUUUCAUUUGCGCUGCGUCUCUUCAAAAGAGGUCACAGAAAUCCCUCUGCCUCCCCUUCCUUGAAAUCAAGUUACAAGUGUUACAAGUGGCUCUGGGAUGAUCACACCCCCAGCAUUGGAAGCACAAGGGUGGAGUGCCUCUCCAGCAGUUAUUCUAGGAAUACUGACGCACUGAGCCGAGGGAACGUACAGUGGAUGCUCUGUGUGUGUGUGUGUGUGUGUGUGUGUGCAGAUGCCUUUGCCACAGCCUUCACCCGGUGUUGUUAAACACAUCCUGAGUGACCUUAUUUGGAGGCCCCAUUCUUGUCACGCUGCCCACGACUAAAGAAAACAUCCUGGCUCAGCUCACCUACGUGAAAAAGAUGAGGCUCCGCUCAGGUCUGGAAGGCUGAAAAAUGUUCUGGUUUGGUGUUGAGGCCUGGAAGGCCUGAAGUUUGUCUGGAUUCUGAAAUCUACCCUCUGCACACCCAGUCCUACUGACCUUCCUGCCCAGGCAGUGUGUCUUGUCUAAGAAAGUGUCUUCUUUCUCCUGGUGGGCUUGCUUCCAGGUACUAAGGAAUCCUGGGGACACAGAUACACAGGCUCAACUAGAAAGUCACUUCAGUCAUCCGUCUCCUAUUGUAAUACACUGACAGGUCCCUAAAAGCAGGCUGAUGGUUUUACUUUCGGAAAACUCUUUGGUUUAUGUAAAGUUUUCUAUUUCCCAAUACUGUUAUCUCAGCUUGGACUAGAAACAUUCAGGAGCCACUUCUGAUCUAAGUAUUUCUAGGAUUCAGUGACAUCUGCCACUACAUCCAUUGACAGUUUUCAAUAAACUAAAUUGUUAUUUUCCCCUUGUUAGGCAGAAGACAAGGAUCGAUAAUAAACUUGGUUGUAACCUACUUUUAAACUUACUCUUAAUUCCUUGGUUUCACAUGUUUCACUCAGAUCUGUCUCCUUGAAGAAGAGAUAAAAAAGGCUUAGGUUAAAGACAUUAGGAAUGGAAAAAUGCAAAGAGGGAGAAGGGAAUGCAGUGAAACAAGAAGACAAAAUAUGCAGACAUCAUCAUCAGCCAAGGGCACUUUUACUGUGGGACAGUAAUAACAGAGCAUGUGACUGAUAUGGUUAGAGCUGCCUCAGUGCAAUUGCAGGUCUUGCUCUUUAGCUCUGAGAAUUAUUUUUUGUGGGAUCUCUUAGAAACUAAAACUUCAUUGUAGAAAUAGUUGCUCUCUGUCAGUUUUAAGAGUAAUUUUUUAACACAAAAGCGUAA